GACGAACGCUGGCGGCGUGCCUAAUACAUGCAAGUCGAACGCAGUGGGGACGGGUGAGUAACACGUGGGUAACCUCCCCAUCAGAGGGGAUAAAACUUGGAAACAGGUGCUAAACCGAUACUGAUGGAUGGACUCGCGGUGCAUUGGCUAGUUGGUGGGGUAACGGCUCACCAAGGCCACGAUGCAUAGCCGACCUGAGAGGGUGAUCGGCCACACUGGGACUGAGACACGGCCCAGACUCCUACGGGAGGCAGCAGUGGGGAAUCUUGGGCAAUGGGGGAAAGUCUGACCGAGCAACGCCGCGUGAGUGAAGAAGGUUUUCGGGUCGUAAAACUCUGUUGGUAGAGAAGCGGUAUCUAAACAGAAAGCAACGGCUAACUACGUGCCAGCAGCCGCGGUAAUUC
rnacentral:rRNA from 1 species